GACGAACGCUGGCGGCGUGCUUAACACAUGCAGGUCGAACGGAAAGGCCCUGCUUUUGUGGGGUGCUCGAGUGGCGAACGGGUGAGUAACACGUGAGUAACCUGCCCUUGACUUUGGGAUAACUUCGGGAAACUGGGGCUAAUACCGGAUAGGAGCUCCUGCUGCAUGGUGGGGGUUGGAAAGUUUCGGCGGUUGGGGAUGGACUCGCGGCUUAUCAGCUUGUUGGUGGGGUAGUGGCUUACCAAGGCUUUGACGGGUAGCCGGCCUGAGAGGGUGACCGGCCACAUUGGGACUGAGAUACGGCCCAGACUCCUACGGGAGGCAGCAGUGGGGAAUAUUGCACAAUGGGCGGAAGCCUGAUGCAGCAACGCCGCGUGCGGGAUGACGGCCUUCGGGUUGUAAACCGCUUUCGCCUGUGACGAAGCGUGAGUGACGGUAAUGGGUAAAGAAGCACCGGCUAACUACGUG
rnacentral:rRNA from 1 species